CAGCUUUGGGUGCUGACGGUGGGGGU
rnacentral:piRNA from 1 species